UCUGUCAAUUGCAUGCCACAAAACCUGCAUAAGUUUGCAUACUCCUAAUUUGGCUUUCAAUAUUGGUCAUUGUCCCUAGCAGAAGAUACAGCAAGACUUCUUUUGCAUCUCUCACGCCCACAUGAACCACAUUAGGGCUGAGACCUUGGGAAUUGCUGAAUUCCCAAUACUAGGCUGCAUCAGGAAUAUCCAAGUUGGGGUUAAAGAUACAAUCUUUUCAUCAAGGGUUUUGAGGAGUAUAUAAAUUUAAUUCUAGAUGAUGCUGGAAAAGUCAACAUCAAGAGGAAGAGCAAAAAACUUUAGAUGGGUUCAUUUUCCUUUACUUU